UCUCUGACUGACAGAAGAUACCAUGAUCAUGAGGUGGUUUUCUCAGGAUAAGGUUCAUCCAUUGCAUUCCAGGGGUGCUGACCCUUGUGAUUUCCCCUGCUGUGGGAAACUCAACUGCAUAACUUGUAGUAGUGGAAGACUGUGUUUGCACUUUCCCCUG
rfam:Chelonia mydas contig160780, whole genome shotgun sequence.